AGAACUUCGAUCCAGUCUGGUCCUCAGCAGAGGCAAUCAAGAACUUGUACGAGUAGAGCUGUCCUAGAGACUGCAUUUAUACGUAAGCAAAGAGAACACAUAAUCAAUUUCUACUACCAGCUACAAAGUUCAUUGUACGAUGCGUACAAAUUAUUGAUCUCAUUUUUCAGAAUAAAGCUGCAGGCCGAGUUCAGAUUGUUCUUUUGCCGGAAAUGGAACAGGUCCAAUGUCAUGGGAGAGCCACCAGUUCAGAUGAAUUUCUAUCUAUUCGCUUAUUUCCUGUUUCUUUUGGCUUCCCCAAUCCUAAAGGGCCUUCCUCUGAAGUGUGUUAUUGAUGAACCAGCAGCCUGUCGUAGCAAGGGAUGA
rnacentral:rRNA from 1 species